AUUGAACGCUGGCGGCAGGCCUAACACAUGCAAGUCGAGCGAGCGGCGGCCGGGUGAGGAAUGUAUGGGGAUCUGCCCGAUAGAGGGGGAUAACUACUGGAAACGGUGGCUAAUACCGCAUACUAUCGGAUAAACCCAGAUGGGAUUAGCUAGUAGGUGGGUUAAAGGCUCACCUAGGCGACGAUCUCUAGGUGGUCUGAGAGGAUGAUAAGCAAAACUGGGACUGAGACACGGCCCCAACUCCUCCGGGAGGCAGCAGUGGGUAUUAUUGCAAAAUGGGCGCAAGCCUUAUGCAGCAAUGCCGCGUGUAUGAAGAAGUCCUUAGGGUUGUAAAGUACUUUCAGCGGGGAGGCGUUACCCGCAGAAGAAGCACCGGCUAACUCCGUGCCAGCAGCCGCGGUAAUUC
rnacentral:rRNA from 1 species